GUCAAGUUAGUUUAAUAUAAAACAUCAGCCUGUGGAUUUGAAAAUGAAAGCUUAUUUCACUUGACC
rnacentral:tRNA from 1 species